rnacentral:misc_RNA from 1 species
UUAAGUUCAGCGGGUAUUCCUACCUGAUCCGAGGUCAACCUUGAUAUGUGGGGGGUUUCACGGCAAGAACCCGACGCGUUCCCUGAGCGAGGAUGUUUACUGCACUCGGUACGACGACGAGCCCGCCACUGGAUUUGGGAGCCUGCGGCAGCCGCAGGGCUCCAACGCAAGCCGGGGGCUUGAUGGUUGAAAUGACGCUC